CGUUUGGUGCCGUUUUGGGGGUUUGCUCGACGAUCAUCAAUUCAUCAAAUCGCAGACUGGUUGUUUGUUUUCCAAAUUGCACCAAAUUCCCAAAACUGCAAAUUUCAUUUCAAAACCCUUAAAUUUCAAUUCCUACUUCUUCUUUUUUAUGAACCUUGGAGCUUGCAAAACAAUUUUCUCGGUUUCCAGUUUGAGCGCACAGGAGAAUGUUGUUUGGUCAUGCUGAUGGUCUAUCUGAACAUCGGUCACCAAGGGACCAGCUGCUUGCUGGUCCUGAAUCGCUGGAAGAUGAUUUCAAAUUAGACAGUUCUGAAACGAUAUUGUACGCUGCUUCUUUUGAAGAACUCGCCAGAGAUAAUCUUCAGUAUGACACCAUCAUAUGGGUUUCUAUAUCGUUAUUGCUGGUUUUGGCUUGGGGUGUUGGCAUCAUCAUGUUGCUUUACCUGCCCUUUAGAAGAUAUGUGCUUCAGAAGGACAUUUCAUCACGCAAGCUUUAUGUCACACCUAGUGAAAUAGUUUACGAGGUUUCGAGACCCUCUUUCAUACCCUUUUGGGGCACAAUAACAAUUGAGAAGCAUGUACCUCUUUCCAAGGUGAUUGAUAUUAUAAUUGAACAAGGGUGGUUGCAAUCAGUGUACGGUAUCCAUACCUUUAGAGUUGAAAGCAUAGCCCAUGGAAAAGCUGCACCUGUUGACGAACUACAGGUUCAAGGGGUUGCAAACCCUGCACUUCUGAGAAGGGUCAUUGUAAGAGAAGCUGCAAAGGCUAUACAGGAAGUUGGUAGAGGUUGGAAACUUUCUACUGUGACUGGUGAAGUGGAAACUGCAUCUCGAAUGACAUCAUCAUUCACAGAAGGACAACCAAUCCUAAGAUCACCAGCCAAAAGUUGGAAGAUGACAGCUUCACCACGUUAUUCUUCCGUGGAGCGCAGAGCAAUGGUGCCUGGAGAGUUGUUUAUGCAAAAACUUGAAGAAGUCAAUAAAUCAGUAAAGAAAAUUGAGUUUCUCAUCGAGAAGUCCCAAGCUUCCUCAGAGCCAGAGGGUAGCUGAGAAGCCAUGGUCCUGAGAAUGGUGUAGAAAGUUUCAAUAGUGAGAAAUGCAGAGUUAACUUCAUACGAUGACAGCGUCAUUCUUCUGUGGAGCGCAGAGCAACGGUGCCUGGAGAGUUGUUUAUGCGGAAAAGUUUCACUUGAUGAAGUCAAUAAAUCAGUAAAGGUUUGCACCCUCUCAUUUCUCUUUAUUGGACGGAGAAAAUAGUUGUAGACAGACUUGGUUCCAAGAAUAACUAGUUAUAGCCCCCAACUUUAAUUGCUUUUGGCAGUACAACUUAUGCCAUGUUUGCAGUAUUUUAAGUUUAAUAUAUAUAUUUAUAUUAACUUGUUAUUAAUGCUUUUUUCCCCCCUUGAACUAAUCCUACAUCGUAUGGAGAUUUGAGUUUCUCAUGGAGAUGUCCCAACUCCCAAGCUUCCUCGGAGCCAGAGGGUAGUAGUUGAGAAGCCAUGGUGCUGAGAAGGGUGUUGAAAUUUUCAAACUUCAACUGGUUUCCUUUUCUUUCAGUAUCUAGCAAUAUUUUCGUUUCUCUUCUUGCUGUAAUUAUAUAAAUAUGGUUUGGUAAAGUUUCACUUUUGUAUGUAAUGUUAGCAAAAUAAAAAAAUACAAAUUUAAAAACUAAAAAAAAAUUAAAAACUAAAAAAAAUAAAAGGUCAGUAUGGCUUUUAUUAUUUAAUUUAGGUAAAUUACACCAACAGUCACGCAACUUUGGGGUAGCUGACAAGACAGUCACUUAGGUUUCAUUUCAGUCACUCAACUUUCGAAAAGUUACAAAACAGUCCUUUUUGCCGUUUUCCGUCACAGACGUCACGACAAAGUGACAUGGUGGAUGACAACGUCCUUGGUGUCAAAAAAUUCUCCAGCUGGCCGGUUACUCUCAAUUUAACAGCCCUACCAGCACCAUUUUAGGGUUAGAGAAAAAGAAGAAGAAGAAAAAGAAGGAGAAGAGGAAAAAUGGAGAUGCCUGAAGUGAUUCCGGUGUGCUAUUGUGGAAACUCAGCCAAAUUAAACACGUCUUGGUCUAAUGACAACCUAGGUAGGAGGUUUUUUGGGUGUAAGAAAUUUGGCAGUGGGUUUUGAAAACCAUGUCGAUUUUUCACCUGGUUUGAUCCACCAUUGACGCCCUGUUCACGAAUUGUGUUGUUGGGUCUUCUGAAAAAAGUGAGGACAUUGGAAAAUGCAAGGAGGAGGGAGAGAAAAACUUGAUUUUUGGUGCUUGUAUUUGUAACUGUGUUGUUGUUUUUUAAACCUUAAAUCAGCUUAUGUUGUUGUUAGCAUUGAAAACCAGCUUAUGUUUUGUAAUAUUAUUGCUGGUAUAUUGUUGCUUAUGUUGUUAUACAUGGCUGCUGGUAUAUUAUUGCUUAUGUUGUUAUA